UCCCUGGUGGCUCAGACGGUAAAGCGUCUGCCUGAAAUGCGGGAGACCCAGGUUUGAUCCCUGGGUCGGGAA
rnacentral:tRNA from 1 species